UAGGGACAAUAUUGUAGAUCACGAAAACGUCUAUCAUACACGUGAGAUUUCAAUACCGGUCGAUGUCAUAACGCGGGAGGUUGUCUUCUCUCGAAUGAGUCAUUGAUCGUAUUUUUUUUGCGAUAUUCCUACCUUGAGAAAUGUGCAAUUUAAUUUAACAGAGGGUCUAACACGUUUAUCCUAUUUGUCUGCUUCUCCAGUCCAGGGUGCCAUUGUGAAUUUCAGACUCCACUCUGUGAGGCACAUCGAUCUGCAGGUUGAACAUGAAUGACCCACCAACAGUCUCUCCCGCCAAGCGGACCGCUGUCGCUUCCUGCCGGUCUGUCUGCUUCCCGGUCUAUAAAACCCCCA
rnacentral:lncRNA from 13 species